AGCUACUUUUCUCUUGAAUGGGGCACAAAGAAAAGAGGGAGAAAAAGUGAGAGAGAAUGGCGCAGCAGCUACUAGAGAGUUCGUCAAGAGGAGGGACUAGUGGAGAAAGCAUCCUAGGCUUAGCAAUAAGCUCCACCAUGCCCUUCCCGGUCUUGGCCCUUGGAGUUGACACCUUCGACAUCUACAUGGUCGACGAGCAGCAACUAACUAUACCAUUUAAAAGAUCAAAUUCAUUAGCAUCAUCGUCGAUUUUUUGUGCACUCUCUGACUUUGAAUCUACGAGACUGAAAAUGAUGCUAAAUCUGGUAAAAUCUCGCACUGAGCAAUGAGUUACAGAAGGUUACAAAGUAUUUUGAUGCUACCAUUGCAAAGGGACCAGAUGUGAAAUCGGCUGCCAACUGGAUUAUGGGUGAUAUUGCUGCCUAUAUGAAAAAUAAAAAGUUGACUAUUGAUGAGAUUAAGCUGACGCCUCAGGUUGGCUGAGUUGAUAGCUUUAAUACAAGCUGGUAUUAUUAGUGGGAAAAUUGGAAAAGAGAUAUUGUUUAAGCUAUUGGUUAAAGGUGGAACUGUCAAGGGACUCAUAGACGAAAAGGAUUUGGUUCAGGCAAG